rnacentral:tRNA from 1 species
GCAGUAGUAGCUCAGCCUGGUUUAGAGCGCGAUUUUGCCAAAGUCGAUGUCACCGGUUCAACUCCGGUCUACUGCUCCA